AGUGGUAAAAAAAAGAGGUGGGUAAACUAUAAAUUCUGGUGGACCACGACGUGGUCACCAGGUAAGGUGGGCCACUGCCUACCGGUUUAUGUGUAUCCUGAUGACAUUGCUAUAUAGGGAGGGCUCGACAUUAAGCCUUUUCAUACGCUUGUCCUUCGGACAAGUAAAUCUGUCAUUCACUUGUCCGAGUAAAAAAGUUGCUCGUCCGGAUUUUUUAUUUUUAUUUUGUGUGUGUUAAUUUAUUCUGAAACAAUAUUCUCAUCAGUGUUCAAUCAGCUUUGAUAUUUAAAUCACCAUAUUGUAAUAUCUGCACCUUUAAAGGCCAUCCCCUCCCCCAAUAUUAUUAAAUGUAUGCUUCAUCUUUCAUUUUAAAUUCCUAAAUUUGAUCAAUAAAUUCAAUUAUUUCGAAUAAUAAGACACUAGGGCUGUUACUCUAGGGGCUGAUAAAAUGAAAUCAUUUACACUGAAAAAUUACAAUUGCAUAAAAUAAUGUUAUGAAAUUGAUUUAAAUUUACAUAUAAGAAAUGUUGGAAAGAAUGAUACUACUUUUAAACAUUUAACACUAAACCACCAGUAGUAGGUGGUGGCAGGCCACUGUCUUAAUGAGUGAGUCAUUGAUUAAUUCAUUCAAACGAUUCGUUCAAACGGCUGAUUCAUUCAAGAUUGAGACAGAUGUUUAUGAAUGGGUCAUUGAAUCUUUGACUCAAUCGAUUCGUUCAAAAUGCUGAAUAAUUCAGUAAUGAAAACAGGUUGAGUGUUCCUGUGACAUGCGCCGUGGUUCUGCUGUGAUUUUUGUUUGGAACUAUUUUCGCUGUUGAAACAGAACAAAAACAGCCUGUUUUAGGAAAUCAAUGUCACAUUUUCAAUCGUGAUGGUGUUCAGGAAAAAUAAUUGAGGUUGCUUAACAUAUGUUAAAAAUAUAAAACUCCACAUUUAGAUUUUUAUAGGCAGUAUGUUGUUAACUGAGUGUGUGUGUGCUGCGCUCAUUUGUGUAGAUUUCUGCUCGAGAGAGAGGCUGCGCGAGCGUCAACAGUGCAACCUUACCGUCAGUAAUAGUCAACAACACUGACAGUAAUGCAGCGCAAUAUGAAAGAGUUCGUCUUAGGUUUAACAACCUAUGAAACUAAUAAUGAACAAUAUGAAACUAAAA